AUCAUGGAAAUCAGAGCAGCGAUCUUAUCUGUAAUAUGUCACAUGAUACUAUCAGAAUCAGCUGAUCCGAAAAUGAAGACGACAGAUCACAUUGGAUGCUACAAACGUAACAGCACAACGUUUGCAUGGUAUGAUUCAAGCGUCCUGAUUAAUGUUAACUUUACAACUGAUGGGUAUCUGGAAUGUCAAAACAAAGCAAGAGUGCAAGAACACCAUGUAGCUCAUUUUGAGUUCGACGAACAUCAACAACUAUCGAUCAGGUGCAAACCUAAAACCAAGAUCCACAUAUAUGAAGCUCUGCUCUUCGAUCUUACUCCCGAAUGCUCUGGUAAAGUAAUUGAAAACGUUACAACGUCAAUUUACAACAUGUGUUCCGCUGCGGAACAGUGUCAAAUAUACGACCUUAUAGAAGCAGACUACAAUGUUGCAGAUGGCUGUUAUUACGAAAGGCUGAAUAUUACUUUUGGUUGUAUGUACGACAGAUUAAUCAAGUUAACUAGAUUGACCAGAAGUGUUGCUGAACCCCUAGGAAUUUUUUUUUGUGUGCUUUGGGGAUGGUAAUUUCAUUUGUUGUUAUAACGUUGUUUUGUAUCCUGCUUAUAAAAAUGUGCUCAUUGUGCUGUCAUGAGGGCAGGGAGGACAGUGAGGACAUGACCUACCCAACCGCUGCAACCUACCCAACCGCUGCAACCAGUAGCACCUACCCACCAGCUGCAACCAAGGGUCGACCGCAUCCUCGGCCUCGGCCUCAUAUCGAGGAAUAUCGAUUUCAUCGAGGAAUAUCGAUUGCCUCGGCCCCAUUACCUGCAACCGUAGGUACCUACUCGUCACCUUUAACCGGAGUUACCUAUUCAUUACCUGCAACCGGUGGUACCCACUCAUCACAUGCAACCGGAGGUACCCACUCAUCACCUGCAACCGGAGGUACCCACCCAUCACCUGCAACCGGAGGAACCCACUCAUCACCUGCAACCGGAGGUACCCACUCAUCACCUGCAACCGGAGGUACCCACCCAUCACCUGCAACCGGAG